AAAGAGAAAGCAAAGGAAAAGAAGAGGAAGAUCUUCAUCUCCGUCCUCAUCUUCAUCUUCUUCUCACUUUGAAGCUUUUGGAGAGGUCCGAGACGGCGUCGUAAGGUCGUGAAAAAGGACGUGGGGCAUCGUGGCGCAUAACCGAAGACCUAUAAUUUCCGGAUUUGCAAAGCGGAACACGGUUGAGGCGCAAGAGCUUGUCGGGCCCAAAGGGUGCCGAGUGCCGCGGGAGGCCGAUUGCAAGUGUCGACAAGCAAUCGGAGCGCGAGUUAAGGUACACACGUGUGCGGCGCGGCGGCGCAAGGCGAGGACGUAGUUCUGCAGAUAGCGUCCUACCCAGAGACCGAGAUAGUUGUACCCUGUGACAGUCUAGCUUAAGGGUUUUAAAGAAAUGAAAAGAAAUGUAUCAGGCUUGUUUAAGUUGUAAUAAUUUAGAUUGCAUUUGGAUUAAAAGAAUGGUAAUUGUGAUGUAAAAACUAUGAAUGAGAAUGAAUGUAAUACUUUAAGGUGUGUUUAUGUUGUA